UUUUAUGUCACGAUACUCCACUUAUCAGAACGGUAAUGUGUAAUUCUAUAUUUAACAACAACGAUCAUGUUGGGGGAAGAUCAUGGCUUUGAAUGUAAGUAAUAAGCUUCUUAAUGUCUAAGAAAAGAUGAUAAGAGUUUGUUAAUAUGUAAUAUUAUAUUAGAUGAACCGUUUUCUGAAUAAAAUUAAUCACAUCCUAAAACACCAUUAUUAAUCUUAAGCUUUUACACUAAAAACAUAA
rnacentral:lncRNA from 1 species